AUGCAAUUUAGCAAGGAUUUAUUGCCUAAUUUUGGUCUGGGCACUUUGCUAACGCGAUGGGGGAGGAUAUCAAGAAGUAAGGGACACAACUUCAUUGUCCCCAGAGACUCCUGGGGGUGGACAAGGCAAGGUGUCUGUUCAUACUGCUGGGGGAGCUCUGGAUUAGGGGACAUCAGGAGACAUGACACUGAAAUGUCCUACACAGUUCUCUGUACAGAUUGGAUUUCCAUGGAAGAAAGAAAAUCAACAUGUAUUGGGAGUCAACAUCUCAUUCAGUCCUGUGAGUUUAUUCUGCCUGUUUUUCAGACAAGGAGACUAAGGUUUCAAGAGGUUUUCUAUGCAGAUGGAUUUCCAAGGAGAGAAGGAAAUCAGCAUGUAUUGAAAGUCAACAUCUCAUUCAGUUCUGUGAGUUUAUUCUGCCUAUUUUAGGCAAAGAGACUAAGGCUUCAAGAGUGCCACUGCUGGUGCAGGAAUGAACUUCCAGAAAGAGUCAAGUUCAUUGAGUCAUGCCACCACCCGGAUGCCUUGUGAGGCCACUGAGUGUUGUGGGUAAGGGUUUGGGUGCUGCUGUCCAGAUGACUGUGGGUUUAAAUCCUGGGCCCACCCACACCAGCUAUGUUACUUGCAGCAUGCUAUUGCACUUGUGUAAACUUCAGUUUGCUCAUCUGUAAAAUGGGAGCAAUAACAGUGCCCACCUCACAGGACUGAUGGGAGAAUGUAAUGAGUUAAAAUGUGUAAAGCACUGAUAAAUAUAUAUUAAAAGCUUGGCAAUGAUAAGAUGCCAUUAUCAAUAUGAUUACUGUAACGCUAAUGUCUAAAGGAGGCCCAGGCGGCAUGGAACUAUACCCUGUGGGCUUGCGAUCUCUCUUUGUUGCAUGCCAAAUGGAAAGCAUACAGUCAUGAAUCAGGGUUUGAGUGUGAGAGCAGAUAACGAGUGAGAUUUAAAUAUUCAUUAGUCAGGGUUCAUCUAGGUCCCUGGGGACAGGAGAGGAUCCUCACAAUUAAUUUCAGGGCCCUUUUCCCUGAGAUGGGUGGGGAAACUCUGCUGUGGUCAUGUACACCUUAUUAAGCACUGCUUGAAAUCCUCCCUACUACGAAAGUGCUGUGAUUUCAAGAUUUCCCUCUUUUCUGGGAAAACCAUAGCACAAGAAUCUACACUGUAAACCCUACGCCUACUUAAGCCCAGAAGGAGCCUGUUACCUCAUAGAAGAAUCUUAUUUUGCCUCGAGAAGAAGCAGUUAUCAAGUGCUCGCGGGGCUUCAGCUGUUUUCACAUCCAUUUCAUUUUGAAACACAACUGCCCUGCAGAUCUUGUGACCCUUGUCUGAUAGGCGAGGCACCCAAGAACAUGGGAACGAAUGCAUGUGCUCGUGGUUUUCAUAGAAUUUGGGGCAUUGGAAAAAUGGAAGGUGGGUGCUUCUGGGUCUCAGAAAUUUGCACGUCAGAACCCCUCCUAAGGGGUGUCAUACAUGUCUCUGAGUCUUGUAUACGGAGAUAUCCAAGCAGGAGUGGAAAAAUGUUUUUUAAAAAGUAACAAAGUCAGGCCUAGUCGAUAUGACUCAUUAUAACAUAACAUUUUCCCCUGUCUCUCAAAACAGGAGAAUUAGCUCACUAACUAUUAUAUAAGCUCUUUGAGGAAAGAGAACAAGUCUAAUUGAGCAUUACAUCCUCAAAGACUGGCAGAAAUCUCAAAACACCAGAGAUGCUCAAAACUAUGGAAAGAAAAAAAAAAUUGUCCUCAAAGAAACAAAACUUCAGCACAUAUUCUUCUUUUUAUUCAAGUAUCCACUGAUUUACUUUCAUGGGCCAGGCUCUUGGGUACAAUGUGCAUGUGGCAGUUCAGGUCCCCACCCUCCUGGGACUUGGUCUAACCAGUGCUUCUGCACAAAUGAGCUUCCAGCAGUUACAUAUUCUCUGAUAUUGCAAGAUGAACCAUAGGCCCUUAAAGAAGAAAAUAAAAAAGAAAGGAAAAGCACUUAACAAUUGCAUUCUUUGUGUUUUUGCCAGAAUGGACCAGAAACUACUAGCAAUUAUGCUGAAGCCAUUAGUGCAAAGCCAAUUUGCUUCUAGAGUUACAGUUGCACUCUAGGAACUUGAGCUACACUCCAGAGAGAUCAUUAGUUGUUGUAGACAUGUUACUGAGGGCAGUGGUGUCAUUUCCAGUCUGGAAUGCCCUCAGUCAAGUGUGGGAGCAGAAAAUGGGGGUCAACAUAAUUAACCUCAUAUGAUUUUGGCAGGACUUCUUGCAAAAUCACCCAUAUGCACUUAACAUUUCUUUCAAUUGAAUGAUCUCAGUGUAUCAGUUUUAUCAAAAUAUUUAUCUUUUUCUUUUUUAUGUUCCCACCUGGCUGACUUUUUUCCUUUUUUUUUUUUUUCUGGCUUUCAAUACAAACACCUUUAGCUUACUUUCUUUUAUUCCCUUCUCCCUUCCUAUCCCCAAUAGCAGACGGUUGUAACUAAUGGAACUCACAAGUAUUGCUGGUUGAUGCCUUUGCUAGGAUUUUCAGUACCAUAAUCCUUUCACCAGAUCAUAACUCUCAGGAGAAAACGCCUCAUGUCUCCCUUUGUAAAAACUUUCCUUGACUUUGUUUCAAUUGAAUCACCUUCACUGACCCCAGGCCUCCAUUAACUAUAUCCAUCCAAAUCAUCUGUUUCACCACUCAGUGCCCGAGGCUGAGGCAGACAUCCCGGCAGCAUCCCAUCUGACCCAGGAGAUGACAGAGUAGGGCUGACAAGGAUUCAGGAGUCAGUUCCGGGUUCCAAUACUGUUUCUACCAGUCACUGCUGGAGAUGGGCCCUUCAACGGCUCAUCGGUAGAAUGAAGAUAACAACAUUUAUCAGCUUGUAAGAAAUAAAACGGAUAAGUAUGUGAAGUUUCUAUCAGUGUGGAUUUAGAAGCCUUAAUUCCAUCCUCUUCAUUCAACAAACAUGCCCUGAAAUCCACCUAUAUGCGUUGCACACGACAUAAGUUUUACAGCUGGGUGCGUUGGCUUACCUCUGUAAUCCCAGCACUUUGGGACGCUGAGGCAGGAGGAUGGCCUGAGCCCAGGAGUUUGAGACCAGCCUGGGAAACAUGGUGAGAUCCUGUCUCUACAAAAAAUUUUAAAACUUAGCUAAGCAUGGUGGCAUGUGCCUAUAGUCUCAGCUCCUCAGGAGGCUGAGGAAUGAGGAUUGCUUGAGCCCAGGAGUUUGAGGCUGUAGUGAAUUGUGAUCAUGCUGCUACACUCCAGCCUGGGUGAUAGAGCGAGACCCUGUG
rnacentral:lncRNA from 1 species